rnacentral:rRNA from 1 species
UAUUGGUCAAUGGUCGGGAGACUGAACCAGCCAAGCCGCGUGAGGGAUGAAGGUACAGAGUAUCGUAAACCUCUUUUUUCAGGGAACANNGGCGUGGACGCGUCCCCGGAUGAGUUUACCUGAAGCAAAAGCAUCGGCUAACUCCGUGCCAGCAGCCGCGGUAAUACGGAGGAUGCGAGCGUUAUCCGGAUUUAUUGGGUUUAAAGGGUGCGCAGGCGGUCUGUUAAGUCAGCGGUCAAAGCCCGGGGCUCAACCCCGGUCCGCCGUUGAAACUGGCAGUCUCGAGUUAGAGAGAAGUAUGCGGAAUGCGCGGUGUAGCGGUGAAAUGCAUAGAUAUAGCGCAGAACUCCGAUUGCGAAGGCAGCAUGCCGGCUCCACACUGACGCUGAGGCACGAAAGCGUGGGUAUCG